GUCUAUGGCCAUGCCACUCUGAACAAGCCCAAAUCCAUCUGAUCUCAGAAGCUAAGCAGGGUCGGGCAUUGCUAGUACUUGGAAAGGGAGACCACCUAGGAAGACCAGGUGCUGUUGGCG
rnacentral:rRNA from 1 species